AUUCGCUAGUAGCGGCGAGCGAAGCGGGAAGAGCUCAAAUUUAUAAUCUGGCACCUUCGGUGUCCGAGUUGUAAUCUCUAGAAGUGUUUUCCGCGUUGGACCGCACACAAGUCUGUUGGAAUACAGCGGCAUAGUGGUGAAACCCCCGUAUAUGGUGCGGACGCCCAGCGCUUUGUGAUACACUUUCAAUGAGUCGAGUUGUUUGGGAAUGCAGCUCAAAUUGGGUGGUAAAUUCCAUCUAAAGCUAAAUAUUGGCGAGAGACCGAUAGCGAACAAGUACCGUGAGGGAAAGAUGAAAAGCACUUUGGAAAGAGAGUUAACAGUACGUGAAAUUGUUGGAAGGGAAACGCUUGAAGUCAGACUUGCUUGCCGGAGCUUGCUUCGGUUUGCAGGCCAGCAUCAGUUUUCCGGGGUGGAUAAUGACGGUUUGAAGGUAGCAGUCUCGGCUGUGUUAUAGCUUUCCGUUGGAUACAUCCUGGGGGACUGAGGAACGCAGCGUGCUUUUUGCGAAAGACUCGUCUUUUUCACGCUUAGGAUGCUGGUGGAAUGGCUUUAAACGACCCGUCUUGAAACCACGGACCA
rnacentral:rRNA from 1 species